GACGAACGCUGGCGGCAUGCCUAAUACAUGCAAGUUGAACGAUGAUAUUCUCUGCUUGCAGAGAAUUGAAGAGUAGCGAACGGGUGAGUAACACGUGGGGAACCUGCCCAUGAGAGGGGGAUAACAUUCGGAAACGGAUGCUAACACCGCAUAAUGCUUUGGACCGCCUGGUCCAGAGACGAAAGACGGCUUUUGCUGUCACUCAUGGAUGGCCCCGCGCCGUAUUAGCUAGUUGGUGAGGUAAUGGCUCACCAAAGCUGUGAUACGUAGCCGACCUGAGAGGGUGAUCGGCCACACUGGGACUGAGACACGGUCCAA
rnacentral:rRNA from 1 species